GGAGCAGAACGUGAAUUCAAUGAACGAACAAAAAUGUAAGCUAACAACAGGGAAUAAAGAAUCUCGUAAAUCGGAUAUUACUGCAUUCUUCAGAUCUCUUUGGCAUAGAAUUGAGACGUAUGGAGAAGAAUCCAAGGGGCCAACAAAAUAUGGGGAUUGCUAUUUCUAGCUGACCAAAUGAUGAGAAAUACUACGUAGACUCAUAUGAACGAAGUAUGCUGCCGCUGUACACUUAAAGCAAAAAUAUUUAUUUACUACGUAACGAUGUUCGUUACUUCAUGAAGUGAAUUACGUCUUCCCGGCUUAUUUCCUGCCGCGAAGAAAGAAGGUUAACAAGCGUGGAAGUAACGCUUCAUGUAUGCAAAUGGAUCUUCAGCAGGGUCUAAACUGGAGAGCUCGGGGCUGAUUUCAUUGUACGUACGAUUAUUGAUCGACUCAUUAAAAGUGUUUUCAACUGGAGACAGCGCUAUUCAGAAUGUCAUGCGUAUAUCUGUGUACGUGUGUGUUUGCGAAAAUACCGUACGUUUAACUAACUAAAAGAGAGUUAACGAACCUUAAGGGUUGCUGCAGUUCGGGCACGAAUUUCUCGAAGGUCCAAAUUGGGAUACUAAAUUCAAUUAUUGUUAAAUAUACGACUGACUCUGCAACUGGAUAUGAGUUUGAAAUUUCGUAUCGCGAUGCUCGUUGGCUCAGUUCAUUUAAUUUGCUAGCAAAGAGUACGAGUGAAAAAUAUCGUCAAAUAUAUCAGCUUAGGAGUUUGAAUGAGAGAAAAGUUACUGACGUAUUGUGUAAAGAUAAUUACAUUUAAACUUGUAUAAAUGAAUAACAAUAUGUAUUUUCAUUCAUUGUGUGUAUGUGUCAGGAACAGUAGCUUACUUAAUUAAAAUCUCAAUUUAGUUGAAAUUACGUACGGCUGGGUAAACACGUGAUAACUAAGUAUGGUAAAGUUGACGUUAUUAUGACUUCAUUUAAAUAAAGGUAAUGGUUAUCAAGCUUGAAAGUUUAACAGCUUUCAGAAUGUUCAUGCUUGUUUCUUCUAAGGAGCUUUGACCUCAGUUACAACUAAAUUUACUUGAGCAGCGAUGCCCCAGGAGAAUCACUUUACCCCGAGGGACACCACGAUUUAAAGCCACGUUGCUCAUAAUAUUUCAACGUAUUUACUUCACAUUAUUAUAUUUAGUUAAUCAAAGUCAAAUAAAAUUUUGUAACCAACUUUUAUCAUAAUUAUA